UAAAGAUAAUUAGGUCUUUCCACUUUUCUGUGGAAAGACCUAUUGUUUUUCUUCUGAUUAUUUUUUUUUUUUCUUCCGCCUAAUUUUGUUCUUGCGAUAAACAUUUGUUUCGCAAUAUGUCGCUUAGAUAUUUUGUAUAUGAUAUCGAACAGUUUAUGCGCUUUUGAAAUUUACCCUGCGUAAACGAAUACUUUUCUUUGUAGGAGUUAUCUCCCCAAACACUGUUUUCCUUGUUAUCGCAUCUCCUUCGCAACCGUAAAAGAUUAUGACAAAUUUAUUUUACAAAAUUCCUCGUUAUAUCCUUCGCAUGAUUUGUCCUAUUUUGACCGAAGCGAUAUGACCGCUCCAUAUGAGAGUUAUUUCCCCUUAUGCAUCUGAUAUAAGUGAUAUGAAUU
rnacentral:lncRNA from 1 species